rnacentral:lncRNA from 1 species
AAGAUUAUAUUAUAUCGGAGUCAAAAGACUAGUAAUACUGUCAAGUUUUUCAUCGUUAAAUUUAUCAUCUUGAUCAUUUUCAUUCGUCAGAUUAUACUAUUCAAUUAAUCAUCCAUAUAUUAGAGUUCGAUUGUUAUGCUAUCAAUAGUAUAAAGCGCUUGGUACUGUCAUGGUUUUUGUCGUUAAAUUUAUUCUUUUGACCGUUUUUAUCCGUCAGAUCAUACUAUUCAACUAAUCAACCAACUAUCAUUCUAGUCACACAUUCAUUCAUGUAAUGGUUGAAAAUCUAAUAGCGUCAAUAACUCGGUACUAUUAAUAGUAUAGUAGCCUAGUUUGUUAUAUCUCGUCUAAAUUGCAUGUUUCUUAGCGUAUGUUUGGUUCAACAUAUAAUCAGAAAAAAUAAUUUUUUUGUGAAAAAAGUUUUUGAUGAAUUUUUUUUUAAUGUUUUGUAGUAUCUGAUUUGUACGAAAAAAAUAAUUUUUCAUCGACAAAAUGAAAAAAAAAAGUUCAUACUUUUUUUGGUUGGUGGAAACAAAUGAAUGAAAAAGAUUUUU